AGGUGCGAUCAUACCAGCACUAAUGAACCCGAUCCCAUCAGAACUCCAUAGUUAAGCAUGCUUGGAAGAGAGUAGUACUAGGAUCGGUGACUUCUUGGGAAGUUUUCGUGUUGCAUCUC
rnacentral:rRNA from 2 species